rnacentral:autocatalytically_spliced_intron from 1 species
AAGAGCCGUAUGCGCUAACGAGCGCUCGUACGGAUCUGCGCGGGGGGUAUCAGGCAACUGAUAUCCCUACCGCGAC